rnacentral:rRNA from 1 species
AACGAACGCUGGCGGCAGGCCUAACACAUGCAAGUCGAACGUGAAGCCACCUUCGGGUGGUGGAAAGUGGCAGACGGGUGAGUAACGCGUGGGAACGUGCCUUUCGGUUCGGGAUAACCCAGGGAAACUUGGGCUAAUACCGGAUACGCCCUUCGGGGGAAAGAUUCAUUGCCGAAAGAUCGGCCCGCGUCGGAUUAGCUAGUUGGUGGGGUAAAAGCCUACCAAGGCGACGAUCCGUAGCUGGUCUGAGAGGAUGAUCAGCCACACUGGGACUGAGACACGGCCCAGACUCCUACGGGUGGCUG